rnacentral:lncRNA from 1 species
UGAGAGUGAGAGAGAAAGGCUUUUUCGUCUUACUUUAUGUGAUUACAUGCUUGUUAUGAGCCUUAUGAUUAGGAAAUAAAACAUCUUUAUCUUAUACAUAGAAUUACAAAGAAGAUAUUUCUUUUUCAUCAUUGAUGUCAAUUUCAUAUGAUAAAAUCAGUCUUCAGUUGGUGCAAAUUUCAUAUAGACAAAUCUACAUUCCAUCCAUAUAAUUUUAAAUUGUAUAUAUUGUGAACUGUUUGUCUUAAUUUAUUAAUAAAUCUAAAUUAA